rnacentral:rRNA from 1 species
CCUACGGGAGGCAGCAGUAAGGAAUAUUGGUCAAUGGACGCAAGUCUGAACCAGCCAUGCCGCGUGAAGGAUGAAGGUCCUCUGGAUUGUAAACUUCUUUUAUAGGGGACGAAAAAAGGGAAUUCUUUCUCACUUGACGGUACCCUAGGAAUAAGCACCGGCUAACUCCGUGCCAGCAGCCGCGGUAAUACGGAGGGUGCAAGCGUUAUCCGGAUUCACUGGGUUUAAAGGGUGCGUAGGUGGGCAUUUAAGUCAGUGGUGAAAUCUCCGGGCUUAACCCGGAAACUGCCAUUGAUACUAUUUGUCUUGAAUAUUGUGGAGGUAAGCGGAAUAUGUCAUGUAGCGGUGAAAUGCUUAGAUAUGACAUAGAACACCCAUUGCGAAGGCAGCUUACUACGCAAAUAUUGACACUGAGGCACGAAAGCGUGGGGAUCAAACAGGAUUAGAUACCCUGGUAGUCCACGCCCUAAACGAUGGAUACUCGACAUCAGCGAUACACAGUUGGUGUCUGAGCGAAAGCAUUAAGUAUCCCACCUGGGAAGUACGACCGCAAGGUUGAAACUUAAAGGAAUUGACGG